rnacentral:rRNA from 1 species
AGUUCACAUCGACGGGGAGGUUUGGCACCUCGAUGUCGGCUCAUCGCAUCCUGGGGCUGUAGUCGGUCCCAAGGGUUGGGCUGUUCGCCCAUUAAAGCGGUACGCGGGCUGGGUUCAGAACGUCGUGGGACAGUUCGGUCCCUAUCCGUCGUGGGCGUAGGAAAUUUGAGAGGAGCUGUCCUUAGUACGAGAGGACCGGGAUGGACAUACCUCUGGUGUACCAGUUGUCGUGCC